GACGAACGCGGCGGCGUGCCUAAUACAUGCAAGUCGAACGAGAGCGACCGGUGCUUGCACUGGUCAAUCUAGUGGCGAACGGGUGAGUAACACGUGGGUAACCUGCCCAUCAGAGGGGGAUAACAUUCGGAAACGGAUGCUAAAACCGCAUAGGUUCUUUAGUCGCAUGACUGAAGAAGGAAAAGAGGCUUCGGCUUCUGCUGAUGGAUGGACCCGCGGUGCAUUAGCUAGUUGGUGAGGUAACGGCUCACCAAGGCCGUGAUGCAUAGCCGACCUGAGGGGGUGAUCGGCCACAUUGGGACUGAGACACGGCCCAAACUCCUACGGGAGGCAGCAGUAGGGAAUCUUCCGCAAUGGACGCAAGUCUGACGGAGCAACGCCGCGUGAGUGAAGAAGGAUUUCGGUUCGUAAAACUCUGUUGUUAGAGAAGAACAGCGCAUAGAGUAACUGUUAUGCGUGUGACGGAU
rnacentral:rRNA from 1 species